UACAAAAGACAGUGAAAUAUUCAACACUUGUGUUGCAUUAGCGAUUAAAGGAUACACAGUUACUGGUCUUUCGUCAGUGGUGACAUCUGAAAUACAAAAUUACCCUGGCCGCGAAAAAUGCACGGAAAGCUUAGUCGUUGAUGCUGUCGGAGACCCAUUGACAAAUGAUUCAGUAAACGAAGGUACAGGUAUCAUCCUUUCCGAGAAUGGUAUCUGGAAUGAAAUAGACAAAGACUACACACCUUACAGCAACAUACUGUCUGCUGUGUGGCCAACUUUAAGAUAUACACAGUACCAAUGGAUUGUUUUAAUUACAAAAGGCCACAAUUCAAGUGUACUCAGUGAUCGUAUUUUGCGAUUCGAUUGGAAUAAAUCAUGUGAUUAUCCGGAUGUCGUUAAAUGUGGAGAAACUACAAAUGAGUUCGUAAAUGUAAAGUUUGAAAAAGGGGAGCUAAUACAUGGUACCCGAUAUGCCAUUUGCAUUCAUCACACUCAACGUAGUUUCGAAGGAAAGAUCCAGCAUGUUAUUAACCAAUGUAGUGAUGGUAUAACUGUCGACUUAUCUCCACCUC